GGCAUAGAGAGAGAGGGGGAGAGAAAGAGGGAGAGAGAGGCCGUGUUAGAGAUAAACAGUUUCACCUGAGUAGAGGCACAGAGGGAAAAAAGUGCCAGGACUUGACAGAGACAGUCUCAGAUUUGGCUCCUUUUCCCUCUUUGCUGACAUUUUUAUUUCUCCACUGUGGAACCCUGAGAUGUUAUGCCGAGCUGACGAGACCGAUAACGUGGCGUCAUGAAGCACCAGGAGCAAAGCAAAGCCCGGGUCACUGCAGAUAAACGGGACGAGGGGUCAGUGUCUGAACAGGGUGGUGUUUAAAGCACAAAAUAAAAAAAAUUAUUAAUUUUAAGGAAAAAAAAAAUAUUUUCAAAUCUGAAAAUAAAGUCUGCUGUGUC
ensembl:lncRNA